GACCACUGAAGAGGCAACAUGUAAGCUGUCACACUGAGAAAGGGUCUCACCGUGUAUCUCAUGGGAUUCAACCCUUAGGAAAAGAACUACAAGCAACUAAUGACUGCUGAGAGAGAGAGACUAUUAGUCUUUCCAAGGAUUGAGCCCCUAAUUGAUUGCCCAGUACUAAGUGGUCAGCCCUGAAAGCAUACAAAUCACCUGAGAGGUGGAGACAAGAGGAUCUUUGUGAGUUCAGGCCAGCCUGGUCUACAGAGUGAACCGAGAAACAGAAAACCAUGCAAGAGGAUGGAAACCACCAGGUCCACUUGGUUGUGCAACUAAAUUCAAGCCAACUUUCUUUUCAAGAUUUAUUUUAUUAUGUUUAACUGUAUGGAGGUAGUGAGUGCAUGUAAGUCUAUUGCCCUCAAAAGUCAGAGGCAGAUAUCCCUGGACCUGGAGUUAAAGGCAGUUGUGAGCUUCAGGACAUGGGUGCUGGGAACCAAACUCAAGACAUUUGCAAGAGCAGUAUGUGCUCUUAACCACUGGGUCAUCUCUCCUGCUCCAAGUCCAAUAUUUUAACAGAAAGUUAUCAAAAAGUUGUUUAGCUCAGUCUUCACAUAAAUAUGUUACAAUGAAAACCAUUCUCUGUAUGCCAAUGGAAAAAUGAGUAAAGGGCCUUUUAGUCCAGUUCAGAACACUGUGUGUCUAGUUUUCUUCUGAUUCUAAGUUUUUGCGAUCAUCAAAAUAAAGUUACUUUUCAUUAAGCAUGAUCAGAAAAGAUUCGCAUAGAGACACAGGAAAUAAUUAGGAAAGAAUGUGCUCUUCACUGAUGUGUUCAUUGAUCACUCUCUGGGUGUCAUUACAGUUAUCAAAUUACUGUGAAGAUUUCCAGACUCUCUUCAAUUCUGUAUUUACCACCUGAUGUGUCCUCAGACCACAGAAAAAUAUGAA